rnacentral:rRNA from 1 species
GUCGGUGCCAAUAACGAUGAGGGUCCACCCGUUCCCAUUCCGAACACGGAAGUUAAGCUCAUCAGUGCUGAAAAUACUGGACUGGAGACGGUCCGGGAAGAUAGGUCGGUGCCGACA